rnacentral:tRNA from 1 species
GCUGUCUUAGCUCAGGGGUAGAGCACUCCCUUGGUAAGGGAGAGGUCCUGGGUUCAAUUCCCAGAGACAGCACCA